CCUACGGGAGGCAGCAGUGGGGAAUAUUGCACAAUGGGCGAAACCCUGAUGCAGCGACGCCGCGUGAGUGAAGAAGGAUUUCGGUAUGUAAAGCUCUAUCAGCAGGGAAGAAAAUGACGGUACCUGUUUAAGAAGCCCCGGCUAACUACGUGCCAGAAGCCGCGGUAAUACGUAGGGGGCAAGCGUUAUCCGGAUUUACUGGGUGUAAAGGGAGCGUAGACGGGAGCACAAGUCUGGAGUGAAAUGCCGGGGCUUAACCCCAGAACUGCUUUGGAAACUGUGCAGCUAGAGUGCAGGAGAGGUAGGUGGAAUUCCUAGUGUAGCGGUGAAAUGCGUAGAUAUUAGGAGGAACACCAGUGGCGAAGGCGGCUUACUGGACUGUAACUGACGGUGAGGCGCGAAAGCGUGGGGAGCAAACAGGAUUAGAUACCCCUGUAGUC
rnacentral:rRNA from 1 species